UACGGAGGGUGCGAGCGUUGUCCGGAAUCACUGGGCGUAAAGGGCGCGUAGGCGGCUUGGGAAGUCCGUAGUGAAAGCUCGUGGCUCAACUGCGAGUCGGCCAUGGAUACUCCUAAGCUCGAGCACUGUAGAGGCAGGUGGAAUUCCGGGUGUAGCGGUGGAAUGCGUAGAGAUCCGGAGGAACACCGGUGGCGAAGGCGGCAUCCUGGACCGACACUGACGCUGAGGAGCGAAAGCCAGGGGAGCAAACGGG
rnacentral:rRNA from 1 species